UCGUGAACACCAAAUAUUGGAUUUGUUGUGAGAUUGGUACACCAAUUUCCGUUACCGUUUCCGUUUGUUUUACCUUAUGAGCGAGCGUUGAGAAUUGGAAAGAAGCGUGGUGAACAUUUAUUCGAGGUUUUGAAUAGAAGAUACGUUUUAUAUUGAUGAAAUUGUUUGUUUCUACAUAACACCUAAGGAUGGCUGAAUGAAGAAAACGAAGACCCAUCUGCCCACAUAGUUAGUGGAAGAGAUUUCAGUAUCAAGGCAGAGGGAAAAAUAUUUGUCGGAGGACUUUCAAGCUUAACAGAAGCUAUUACGGGCCUUUUGGCAUUUUAUUAUUCAUGCAACCUGGAAUACCCGAAGAAAGGAAAAAACUCUCUAACUUUCAUUCAAUUAAUGGGCGGAAUUGAAGGUGGUGCGAUUGCGCAGAAAGUUUUAAAUUUAUUUUGCAAAUUGAAAGCAGAAUAAAUUUGUUUUGUCUUUAUUUUAGCAUCUUUUUACAAUUUUAAUCGACCUACGUAUUUCAUUAUUUAAUAUGUAUACAUGAAAGUUUUUAUAAAUCUGAACAAAUUGUAUCAUUACAGUAAAUAUUAUUUAUACAUUUUAUCUAUUGUAAAUAAGUUUGUUUUCGACAUGUUAUGUUCAGUGAUGUUCAGUUAUAAUUUUAAAAAAAAAAUCUUUUUUAUUUUAAUUAUUUUUUGUUUUGUUUCCUUCUGUUCUCAUUCUUUGACUCUUCGUUAGACUCUGUAAUUGUAAAAAAGUUGUGUAUGUACAUAGUACCUAAGAAAUAAGGUUCACACCUGGAUUAAAAAAACUAUUAACUACUAAUAAUACUGUAAAUUAAAAUGUCAAUAAAAUGAAUAAAAUGAUGACAAAA